UACGUAGGGGGCAAGCGUUGUCCGGAUUUAUUGGGCGUAAAGAGCUUGUAGGCGGUUUGUCGCGUCUGCUGUGAAAUUUCGGGGCUCAACCCCGAACUUGCAGUGGGUACGGGCAGACUAGAGUGUGGUAGGGGAGGCUGGAAUUCCUGGUGUAGCGGUGAAAUGCGCAGAUAUCAGGAGGAACACCGGUGGCGAAGGCGGGUCUCUGGGCCGAUACUGACGCUGAGGAGCGAAAGCGUGGGGAGCGAACAGG
rnacentral:rRNA from 1 species